GAAACUCAAAGGAAUUGACGGGGACCCGAACAAGUAGCGGAGCAUGUGGUUUAAUUCGAAGCAACGCGAAGAACCUUACCUAAGCUUGACAUCCCAAUGACAUCUCCUUAAUCGGAGAGUUCCUUUCGGGGACAUUGGUGACAGGUGGUGCAUGGUUGUCGUCAGCUCGUGUCGUGAGAUGUUGGGUUAAGUCCCGCAACGAGCGCAACCCUUGUCUUUAGUUGCCAUCAUUAAGUUGGGCACUCUAGAGAGACUGCCAGGGAUAACCUGGAGGAAGGUGGGGAUGACGUCAAAUCAUCAUGCC
rnacentral:rRNA from 1 species